rnacentral:tRNA from 1 species
GCAUUGGUGGUUCAGUGGUAGAAUUCUCACCUUCCAUGCAGGAAACCCAGGUUCAAUUCUCGGCCAAAGCA